rnacentral:lncRNA from 1 species
AUGUCUGGAAGGCUAUGGUCCAAGGUCAUUUUGCCGUCUGUAAGUGGGGUCUCUAGAACCAAAGGGAGCAUACAUUUCUUCUUAAAAUUGAAGGUGUUUAUGCCUGAGAUGAAACUGAAUUCUAUUUGGGCAAGAAAUGUGCUUAUGUGUACAAAGGGAAGAACAACACAGUGACUCCUGGUGGUAAACCAAACAAAGCCAUAAUAAUCUGGGGAAAGGUAAUUCAGGCCCAUGGAAACGGUGGCAUGGUUUGUUCCAAAUUCCAAAGCAAUCCUCCUGCUAAGGCCAUUGGACACAAAAUCCGUGUGAUGCUGUAUCCCUCAAGGAUUUAA